AUUGAACGCUGGCGGCAGGCUUAACACAUGCAAGUCGAACGCGUGGCGGAAGGGUGAGUAAUGCUUGGGAAUCUGGCUUAUGGAGGGGGAUACCUACGGGAAAGUGUAGCUAAUCACGAGUACCAUAGGCUUAGCCCAAGUGGGAUUAGGUGUUUGGUGCGGUAACGGAUCACCAAGCCGAAGCGCUCUAGCUGGUCUGAGAGGAUGACCCGACACACUGUGACUGAGACACGGACCAGACUCCUACGGGAGGCAGCAGUGGGGAAGAUUGCGCAAUGGGGGCAAUCUGACGCAGCCAUGCAGCGUGAAUGAAGAAGUCCUUCGGGUUGUAAAGUUCUGUCAGGAGCGAGGCGUUAACUACAGAAGAAGCACCGGCUAACGCCGUGCCAGCAGCCGCGGUAAUAC
rnacentral:rRNA from 1 species